rnacentral:tRNA from 1 species
GGCAGCGUCUGGCCCCUGUCGAUCGGGGUGGUGACGCUGCUGCCGUCGGGCUGGUGAUAGGUGACGGAGCCCUUGUCCGGGUCGAGCACGCUGCUGC